CCACCCCUCCACUCCUUCCAUCACAAAAUUACAACCCCUUUCUCCUCCCAGUAUCUGAUUAUGAUUACUUUCCCAGUUAAAGUCUGAUCUCACCCCUUCUACUGCAAUCAAUUGUUUUUUUUUUCUCUAACUAAACUCUCUGUUUGUUAAUGCAGCAACAAGGUUGUAGAUGAUUACCUUUGGUAAACCGAUGGAUUUGGACGAUAUACUGAUGAUGAGCAAUAGGACCUGAGGUGUUGUUUGAUCUCAUACAGAGAUUAUUUUGGGGGUCUGUAUGUUCACCAAACAUUACACCUCUGCUACUUUCAGGACAUGGAGGGUAAUGUUUAGUCGAAAAAAAGAGUCACUUUUUGUUUUUUGUUUUUUUUGAUCUUCAAGUAAUCGACUAAAUAUAUUUCUUUGUUCAAUCGUCAAUCAUUCAUCAAUCUACGUAUAUAGCAAAUUAGCAACAGCUUCAAUCCGUAUGUUGUCCAAAUCCAAUCCUGCUUUUUUUAUCCUUUGAAAGCCGAAAAAAACAGGAUUGGAUUUGAACCCAUACUGACCGAUGUAAACUUGGUUAUGAAUAUUUAAUGACGGAGUUCAAAGAUCAUCUCUGUCCCCAAGACUCUAUCAGUUCAUCAGUUGCUGUUACAAAGAAAAUGGUGUGCUAAAAAAUGCUGUGUUUGGCUGUAUAAGUUAUGUCUUGUCCUGACACAAGUCACAUAAUCACAACUUAUCUGUUUUGCACGGCUUAUAAAAAAAAGGUGCAUGUUGUUAUGUAUUUUGCGGGGUUUUACUUCAUUACCUUCUGGAUUGGGUAGCUUUGGUCUCUCUUACGUAACUUCAUGUAAACAUAUAAUGGCAAACCAAAAUAAGAUACUACUUGUAUCAAUGGAUGCGAAUACCACUUUCAACAAUCAUUCAGUGCAAGCUUGGAACGGAAUAAGUUGGAUUUUCUUGUAGACAAUGAGCCAAAAAUUUCAUCCAUGCAUAUCAAGAUUCCAUUUAGCCGAACAAUGGUAGUUUCCAUUCAAACCCAAACAAGAGACUAGCGUGCAAGAAGAAACUCCUCCUUGCUGUGUGGAACUAAUCUUACAGGGGCACCCAUUAUAAAGGCGAAUAUUGUAGAAUCAGAUCAUGAAACAAACAUCGUAGGAGUGUGAUGUCGUGUUCAACUAAAAAACGUAGGUUGUUAAAAUUGCUUCUAACCCAUAUAUAGUUCCUGAAUUUUGCUGUAACUAGUCUUGCACACACAGGGGGGGAUUGAUUACUCUCUAUAAAAAGUCCUAUAGGGCCGGCAUCUACACUCUAAUUACUAUUGACAUGCGCUGCAGUAGAUAUACUACACUUUAGCUUAACACCAUGGCAUAAUCUGAAGCACUAUGAAGGGGUUGUGCAUUAUAAAUAGAGAUGAGAAUUUGGUCUUUGCUUUUUAUAAUAAAGAAAAAGAGAUUUUUGUACAAGAGAUGGAAAGAACAAAUCCGGAUGCCACCACCUUGUAGAAAACCUUUUUAUCUUACUUUUUUACUUUGUGAAAGCAAGAAACAUUGCAAUCUCAUGUGAACGUAGAACCCAUUACCCAUGUUUCCAAUAAUUAAAGAAAGGAUGAAGCAUGAGGUUAGAAGAAUUUCUUCAUUGAAUACGUAAGCAAAUUAGAACUUGAUUAACAUGGAUUGUUAUGGGUGUCGUUAAGUGGUCUAUCUAUGCAAUCGCUCUAGCUCUAUUCUAUUUCUCGUUUAUACAAUAAAUCCAAGAACUAUAAUAGAUACUUAAUGGAAUCAGUAUUCUAGAUUAAUUGACUAUAUAUCUAGCUAAUUAAUCUCACAUUUAUUAUGAAAGCCAAAGAAUAUUAAAAACCAAAGGUAUGUGGCCUUUUUCUUGAUGAAGAGAAGAAGAAAAAACGAAAGAAAGUAAGAUCAGGAGAACCACACCUUUCACCAUUCAAUACUACCGAUCAACCAUUCUUGUUUGUUUCUAUAAGAGAUUCUUGCUAAAAGUAUUUUUGACAUACUAGGAAAUUAUGAUAGUGACCAACAACCGUAUAGUGGAUCACAUCCAUCACAUUUAACUCUUUACUCUUGUCACCAAGCAAGACUCACUUUUGCAACAUUUUUCAUUCCAUCUCCACUUGCAGAUGUGCCUAAUCCUUCUUUUCCUGUUGUUGGUAAUCGAAGAAUUUCAUUACAAAAUCCAAUUCAUAUGUUCGGUUCGUCCCAAAGGCACCUCCACUGAAUAAAUUUGUACUAUGGAAUCCUAUCAUCUUUUUUAUUUACAUUUUGUGGCAGUCACCAUCAUAUAUAUAGAAAGAAAUCUUCAUCAUCUUUAGGACGAACCAAACAUAUGGUGCAAAUCCCAUGGCUUUCUCAUAUAUAGUGCCAACCCUCUGAGCCAAGACAGGGGAUAAGAUGAAACGGAAGGAAACAAAAAAAAGUGAGAAUAUCUUCUCAUCUUGUAACUCCAAUCUUUAAAAGAUGACCCAUGAUCGGGCUAAUAUUUAUUUGUAUCAGGGAAGAAGUGUGUAGUAAAAAAGUCGCACUUCCCGUCUUAUUAAUAUCACAAACAAACUAAAUUUGCCAAUCAUUCAUUCAUUCAUUCAUUCAUUUUCUUUUGGUUUUUAUCUCCAAAGAGAAGGAGUUAAACCAUCAUUUUCUCUCACUGUGGGGACUGAGACCCAUCUAGUGGAAUCAAAUAUGAACAAAUGGUGGUGGGAUGAAUGUGGAGGAGAAAUCAAAGAAUAUUGAGUAAGUAUCACUAGCCUCUCCCUGUGCCUGUGUGCGUGUGUAUAUAUAUUAGGUUCAUCAACCAUAACACAACUCAACAGAAUCUGAAAUACUUCAGACACAACUCCUAAAUAAAUCAACCAAGGGUACGUAUUGGUCUUUCCAUAGUUUGCAGGCCGACUCAACAAUCAAGCAUGAUGGUAUAUCCUCUCAAAACAAAUAGCAAUAGUAAGUUUUAUUAAUUUUGAUCUUCUACAAUUGAUUCUUUUAGGUGGUGUGGUCAAUUUUGUUUUAAAGAAAACUUUCCAAAUGUCCUGAUAUUUUCAACUGAUUCUUUUAGUUGUUGUGCUUUUUCUCCCUGAAGGAGCUGGCCGAGAUCACCCUGCUUCAAACCCAUUUGGUUCCCGUGGAAUGGAAUCAAGUUCCCCCAGAGGCCAAGAGUCUUUUUAUGAAAGGGAACGGCCAAAUGUCAAACUUAUAUAUUUGCCACUGGCCGCAGUUGUUUUUUAUCUAUCACAAGACAACAUUCAAUUCCAUAGGGUCAUGCAGGAGAUCAGGACCUUUGUAAGACAUCUGAAUUGGAUAUCUUACGAGACCGGAAAUUGGCUUAUGCCGAAGGACUUUGAAAGGCCGGGAAAAUUAUGAAACUCACAUAAAGUUGGAUUUGGAAAAAGAGAAUCUCACUUGCUGGAAUGAUGCAUUCACCUGUGUAUAGAAGAUAAUUGGGAGGUGUAAUUAACAAUUUGUGAUCAUGAAUCCUCAAAAUAGUUAUUGAUUUAUGAAAAUUUGGUAUUAGAAACCAUAAGAACAGUAUGUAGAUAUGAUUAGAAUGAAGCAUUUGCUUUUGCGUACGCAAA